rnacentral:tRNA from 1 species
AAAGGGAGACCUAAUUCAGGUAAAAGACGAAAAAAAAGUAGUCGCUACCAAGAAUCAAUCCCAAAAGGUCGGAGCGAGGCGAAAUUGGCUUUCAAACUAGGUUCUGGGUUCAAACAAGACCUGAAUCAGGAACAAGGGCUAUUAGCUCAGGUGGUUAGAGCGCACCCCUGAUAAGGGUGAGGUCCCUGGUUCGAGUCCAGGAUGGCCCACCUGCACAGGUGGCAAAAACAAGAGAAGCGAGGAAUCAGCACCUUAUCUUACUUAUAUAGUAAGAGAGAAUGCUGGCUCUGAGUAAAGAGUCCAGAGGAACCUUGAAAACUGCAUAGAGCUAGGUGAAAAAGCCAACAAAGAAGACCGCAAG